rnacentral:rRNA from 1 species
GAUGAACGCUGGCGGCGUGCCUAAUACAUGCAAGUCGAGCGAACAGACGAGGAGCUUGCUCCUCUGACGUUAGCGGCGGACGGGUGAGUAACACGUGGAUAACCUACCUAUAAGACUGGGAUAACUUCGGGAAACCGGAGCUAAUACCGGAUAAUAUAUUGAACCGCAUGGUUCAAUAGUGAAAGACGGUUUUGCUGUCACAUAUAGAUGGAUCCGCGCCUCAUUAGCUAGUUGGUAAGGUAACGGCUUACCAAGGCAACGAUGCGUAGCCGACCUGAGAGGGGGAUCGGCCACACUGGAACUGAGACACGGUCCAGACUCCUACGGGAGGCAGCAGUAGGGAAUCUUCCGCAAUGGGCGAAAGCCUGACGGAGCAACGCCGCGUGAGUGAUGAAGGUCUUCGGAUCGUAAAACUCUGUUAUUAGGGAAGAACAAAUGUGUAAGUAACUAUGCACGUCUUGACGGUACCUAAUCAGAAAGCCACGGCUAACUACGUG